UACGCAGGGGGCUAGCGUUGCCCGGAAUUACUGGGCGUAAAGGGCGCGUAGGCGGAUAUUUAAGUUGGGGGUGAAAUCCCGGGGCUCAACCUCGGAAUUGCCUUCAAAACUGGAUAUCUUGAGUUCGGGAGAGGUGAGUGGAACUCCGAGUGUAGAGGUGAAAUUCGUAGAUAUUCGGAAGAACACCGGUGGCGAAGGCGGGUCUCUGGGCCGAUACUGACGCUGAGGAGCGAAAGCGUGGGGAGCGAACAGG
rnacentral:rRNA from 1 species